rnacentral:rRNA from 1 species
AAUGAACGCUGGCGGCAUGCCUAACACAUGCAAGUCGAACGAAGGCUUCGGCCUUAGUGGCGCACGGGUGCGUAACGCGUGGGAAUCUGCCCUUGGGUUCGGAAUAACAGUUAGAAAUGUCUGCUAAUACCGGUUGAUGUCGUAAGACCAAAGAUUUAUCGCCCAAGGAUGAGCCCGCGUAGGAUUAGCUAGUUGGUGGGGUAAAGGCCUACCAAGGCGACGAUCCUUAGCUGGUCUGAGAGGAUGAUCAGCCACACUGGGACUGAGACACGGCCCAGACUCCUACGGGAGGCAGCAGUGGGGAAUAUUGGACAAUGGGCGAAAGCCUGAUCCAGCAAUGCCGCGUGAGUGAUGAAGGCCUUAGGGUUGUAAAGCUCUUUUACCCGGGAUGAUAAUGACAGUACCGGGAGAAUAAGCUCCGGCUAACUUCGUG